GUUAGCAACCCAGCGUCGUCUGCUUCAACGUCGUGUCCUGAACUGGUGAUGACGAGCACGAGCCCAGAAGGAGUAGCAGAGUGGUGAGGCCCAACACGAGAACUUGUUUGGAGCCGGAAAAGAGACGACCUCGAGCACAGUCAAAUGGGCGAUGUCGCUGCUGCUGAACAAUCCAGGGACACUCGAGAAGGCACAGUCGAAUGAGCGAUGUCGAAUGCCACCGACGAGGCGAAGGCGGCGGUGGCCGAGUCGUCCGAGUUGCUGGCGGCCAUCUGCGCGGGUCUUGCUGCACUGCGCGCGGUGAGAUGGUGCUUGGCAACUCGACGAAUAUUUACGCCAAGAAGUUGUGGCUUUG